CAAAGACUAAAAAGGACAUUUCAUCACAAGACUAAGACUAAAUUAAAAAUAGGUGACAAAAUUAACACUAAGUCCCUAAUAGACCUAACACUCACCAAUACACCACAGAUAUAUCCAGCUGUAUGUGUAUUCUCAAAUGACAUCAGUGACCAUUGUGCAAUAGGUUGUGUCAGGGACACCCGGCUUCCUAAAAUCGAGCCUUGUAACUUUAGAAGGUUUGUAGAACAGGCCUUUCUACAGGUUUACACAACUGUGACUUAUCUAGAAUUAGUCUUAUUCCCGGACAUUAACACUGCCUGGAACUACUUUCAUUCAAUUUCUGUCACUAAUAAACAUGCCCCCCUUAGACGCUUCAGUAUUAAGGGGCGGGAAAACUCAUGGUUUUACCCUUAACUGGCUUCUCUGAUUUAUGAGAGAAAUGUCACAUGAGCCUUAGCAAGGAAUUUCAACUCUCAGUCUGACUGGACUGACUUCAGUUACCUCAGAAACAAAUGUAUCGGUAAUCAUCGCAUGAGAAAAUGUAAAUCUGACUUCUUCCUCCAGUCAGUUUCUAGUAAUCUGAAUAACCCCUUGAAAUCAUGGAAAAUUAUUAAAUCUCUAAUAUGCCCUGUUACUGACACUGCCCUCACCCAACAUAUUGUACAGGAUGCUCAGCAAAUCCAUCCUGACAAAGCUUCCUAUCCAUAUGUCUCUCCACCUAAUAACUGCUUCUCUGGUUUAUCUGCCCCUCUGGACAGAUAAGGUUUGACUUUGAAUGCAUCCCCUUUUCUUUUUUAAGGGUCUUAAAGGGGUGAUAGAAUGAUGAUAUAGGGUAUUUUGUGCUGGUUCUUAAGGUCUCUGAAUAGGGUGUGUAACAUUGGUUGGGCUGAAAAUGGCAUAUGUGCUGUUCUGUGCUAAUGCAAGCCUGGUUAAAAGCCCUAGAAUGAAACGAGAGGUUUUCUUCCUUUGAUGGUAUGCUCAUGAAUAUUUAGAUGACCUGCGUGCUGAUUGGUUGGUUUACAAUGCGCGAAGCUCCGGAACAAAGACGCAAACAUGGACGACAGCACUCACUGAAACAGCCAAGGUGGAAAUACUAUGGAGACAUAGGUGGUGAACAGCAUAUUUGAGCCUGAAUCAAAGGAAGAAUCUGAAAUAGAGGAGCAACCAGUCGUCCAUAGAUUGGAAAUGACUACUUCAGAGUGGUAAGUUUUGUCAUUUACUUGAGUUUGCCACUCGUAGCCCAGUUAGCUAGCUGUAAUACUCGCACGUUAGUGUCGUAGACUAAGCUAAACAUUGUAUUAGGUUCGUUUUUAGCAUUGUAAGCAACAGAAGUUAUUCAUUUGCACACAAACAAAUGUUUUACAACUUGUACCCUUGUGCAAUUUUUGUCAAGAUGUCCAGUUAGAAACUAGCUGAAAAGUUUGUAGCCCGUCGUGGGCAGUUCAGGCUAUGCUGUAGUGAAAGGAGUGCUGCUUGCAAGGAAAGUACUCGUUUUAGUCAGUUAUUAAAAGAAUGACCCAGGUUCCUGAGGAGCUGACCUGAAUGACCCAUCAUGGCCUCAAUCCGUUGUGCCUCUAUAGUCUUUGCAAAAUGCAAUGAAUAUUUACUGAGCUGACCAUGGCCGUUUGAGAAUCAGAGGAAUGGAAAGGCAAUGAAGUGACUUGGCCUACAGGUCUUUUGUGAGCAGGAGCUGGGGUUUCCUUAGAAGAAGUGUCCGUGUCAUGAUCCCCUUGUGUGUGGUGCUACGCAUAUGGAGGGAACUUCCGGAUACUUCAGGGCAGUAUGUUGGAUUCAGACCCCUUUUCGACUGAACCACGUGACACAUGUUCAGCAACA